GAAGACACCAAGGGCCCUUCAAAACACAGAAGCUUCUUGCUCACGGCAGAAAGCCCAAUUCCAUCUGGCCCCUGCAGGUUGGCUCAGCACUGGGGAAUCAGAGUCCCCUCCAUGACCAAGGCACCACUCCACUGACAGACUCUGUUAAUCAGCUUGCUUGGCUGGCCUCCAACCAUAGGUCCAGGGGCUGAGACAAGGUCCUUUUGAGCUCCUAUGUGGGAGGCUCUGGAAAGCUUAGCAACACUUUCCAACAACUUUGCCAGGGUCACAUCUCCCAGGAAGAUCUCACUUCCCCACAGAAGCUCUUGGCCUGGCCUCCUGCAGUGCCACGCUCCGUGUAUUUGACAAGCUGAGUUGGACACUCCAUGUGGUAGAGUGUCAGUUUGUCAAAUACCCCAAGUGCGGCACAUGCUUACCAGCUCUAGGCCAGGGCAGAUGGGAUAUGACGAAUGGACUGCCAGCUGGAUACAAGGAUGCUCACCAAGCACCAAGUUCUCACAAGUUAUUUUAUGUGACUUUGCAGGAACUGAGGCAUUAUAUCUGAGGACACCAGGGGAAAAGUGUGGCAUCUCAGGGAAAUACAGCCCUGGGCUGUGUCUACACACACCAUGAGAGUGCUGAUGGGGGCGCAAUAGUCUUGAAAAUGUAUAAAGUGUCCAGGAAUGGAAGUGCUCUUUGAUUCAUUAUUAUUUUCUUCCUUCAUAUUCCCCUCCCAGAGUCUCCUAUCUAGGACAUCAGCAUUCUCACACAAGCCUAAUGGCUUAUCUGAGUAAGCAGGGCUUAGAAAUUCACUUUCUUGAUACUCAGUCUUGCCUUCUAAACACUCCUUGAUCUUGCCUACCUCUCCCCUUUUCCACAUGUCUUUUCCUGUAGGAACACUUUCUCCAUUUAUUCCUGCCUAUCCAAUUCUUCCCUAUAUUUCCUGGACCAGCUAAAGUCCAGUGUUUCCAGAGACUUUUGAAAGUCAACUUACACUUUUUCCUUCUUCAUUCACAAAGCUCUUCUUCCCUGGGCCCUGGUAUGUAUGCCUUUCUCUCCUACUGUCUAAUAGCACCUCGUAAAUUGUCAAUGAACUUUUCUAAGGGGUAUUCUUGAAUUCCCAACUAGAUUGUGAGCUUCUGGAAGACAAGGCUAUGUCUUUGAUUGUUGUCUCCCCUACCACAGCCCAGUACUUUAGUUACAGAAAAUAAUAAAUAUUUACUGAUUGAUUGACUUUCCUCUUGUCCACUAGCUUUAGGUUUGGGGGCCAAAUUCUACCCUGGAUUUUGAAAAAUUCAAACUGUGAACACCACAAUGUUAUAGAGCAUAUGAGGUAGUAGCCAGCAUGAAGGAUGUUUUCUUCCUGAGAAACAGUGUCAAGGGCUGGAGGAAGAGGGCAAAAUAGCAGACUCAGAGGGCAAAUAAAUUUUGGUAUUACUUGGUCACACAAGGUUAUACAGGUGUUUUCUUGUAGGAUUUUUCAGAGCCUUUAAUAGUCUAAUGUUGCAUUGAGAAUCUCAAAGAGGAAACCAUAGAAUGAGGCAUUUGCCAUACCUAUCUGAUCAUGAAUUUUCUUUUCCCCCACAGCCUUCUCCUGUGUCAAUGUCCAAUGAAGCACGAUUUGGGAAACUGUCCUAGAGAAACUUUAUACCUUCCCGCUCUUCUGGAGAUCUUUUCCUCUUUUCAUUCAUCUACUUUCCCCAACCAGCCAUCUGCCUAAGAAAGGUCACAUGUUAUCAUCUCAUUUUUGUUUAGCCUCUGCAGCUGUGGACUAUCUUUAUUACAUAGGAAUUCUUUACUAGCUUGUCCUGUAUUUAAAAAUAUUCUAAGUUUUGAGGCAAAGAAGAUCCAGAUGCUGCAAUAAAUAUAUGCACUGAGGAGUU
rnacentral:lncRNA from 1 species